GAAAGGGCCGCGGGCGGUAUUAACUGGGCCUGGGAAGUUGAGGGUCUGGGGUUUGAGGUCUGUCACGCCGACCGCUGGGGCCCAGAGGGGUAGGUGACCUUGUGCGCUGGGGCCGGGAGAGGUGAGCUCGAGGCGCCUGACGCGGCUGGACGUGAAUUGCGCUGAAAGAAGCCAUCCGGUUCCCGCCUGUGUCCGUGUGAUUUGAAGCCGUGUUAACGAGACGUAGACUUGGUGCGUUUUGGAUUUGCCCUGGAAGUUACCAUCCUUCGGCCUGGUGAAGAGAGCCCUUUCGCUCAUGCACACUGACUCAGUGUCGACUUUGCGCCGGGUCUUGGGCUACGUGAGUAGGAUCUAGAAACGAUAAUCUCUAUGCCCAAUGUGGGUCUCAAACUCAUGACGAGAUCGAGUCACGUGCUCUACUGAGCCAGCCAGGCACCCCAAUAACAUUCCAUUUUAUUGAUGCACUGAAACGUCUUCAGCCAAUCUUCUGCUGGUGGGCACAGAUUGUGUCUACACUUUUGUUAUUAUCAAUAAGAUGACAAUGAAAAACUUAAAUCAUUUUACACAUAUGUAUGUAUAUCAAAUAAAUUCCUUAAAG